rfam:Firmicutes bacterium CAG:95 genomic scaffold, scf285
UUCCUGAUUUUUCUUACAUCAUCUGCAAGGGCAGACACAGCCAGCAAAAGUCGUGCACGGAUGCACGACUUACUCUGCAAAGAACACGGAUGUUCUCUUGCAGAGGAUUGCGUUCAAUUUCAACACUGCCACACUGACCUUGCACAGGAUGAUAGAAAAAUCGGAAG